CACUCUUCACUCCACACACUUCACUUUGUUUGCACUGUCUUUUGUCCUGCACUGUCUUAUGUGUCUUGUCAUAACCAGUUAUAACACGGUUUAAAGGGACCCACAUUUCUUUUUUGUGUUACUGUGAUGCUGGAAACAGUAAAACAUAUUAUUUAUCUAAACAAGACAAAUUCCAAAUCUCUUAAUAUUUAGACUUGACGAUAGGGCUGUAUUUAACGACCUGCUGGGAAUCUCCCACCUAAGACAGAAACAGUAAUUGUAAGGUCAUACCUGUUUUAUCAGUUUAAUAAUGCAGAAAAAGUUUUUACACUGUUUUACUGGCACUUCAUUAAACUGACUGCAGGCCAUUUUACCAAGAUGUUUCAGACUUUAAAAAACAAGUUUUUAGGCAGUGCUUCAUCAGUUAUCUGAAGGUGUUUGCUUGAAAGCAUUCUCUGAGCAUUACCUAAAGUAUUCUUCAUCAUUAGAGUCUACAUCAGUCAAGUGCUCCUCAUAAGGGGCUUUCAAACAGGGUGACCUACUUUAAUGACCUACUUGUAAAGCUUCUGAACACUCAGAUGUACUGCCAGACUCUUUUACAGAUUCGUCAUCUAACUGUGACCUUAUCUUCAUCAUAACUUACCCCUGAGUACCAGGAAACAAAUGAUCAUUAUAACUUACACUUACAAGAGAAAGAAACAAAACCAAAUCAAAUCUUCUCUUCCUCAAAAAUCACCAACAUGGUGUAACAUGCGGUGAAAGAUGAGGCAGAGGAUCCAAAUACAAAGUAAUCCAGGGAAGGGCAAUGACACAACAGGAUGAGAAACACAAACACACACAACAGCCAUAAAGGACAACAACCGACAGGUGUGUGUAUCAGGUGUGUGUAUUCGGUGUGUGUUUCAGGUGUGUGUAUUCGGUGUGUGUAUCAGGUGUGUGCAAAACAAUAAUAAAGUAAUGACAUAUUAAAUAAGUCUAUUGAAGUGGAAGUGAAAAGGACUGUGUUCUCCUGAAACAUCACACUGUGCUGGACUGCGCUGUGUUCUGCUGGAACAUCACACUGUGCUGGACUGUGCUGUGUUCUGCUGGAACAUCACACUGUGCUGGACUGCACUGUGUUCUGCUGGAACAUCACACUGUGCUGGACUGCG